AGGCUGUGAGGAAUGCUGGGAGUUGAAGUCCAAGACACCUGAGAGAAGGCCCAAGUAGGCCCAUGCCAGGUUUAACCCCACCCACAUACACAUAUUAACACUGGGAGUGAUUUACAAAAAUAUUUAGGGGCAAGCGGGAAGUAAAGGCCUGAAACAGAAGCCUCAAGACUGAAAAAUGAGGCAUCUAUCAGGUGUGGUGAAAAAUCCAAAAUGGAAGCCUCUUGAAUAGAAGCUGAGGCAAAGUCUGGUGUGUUUGAGGAAAUGGGAGGAGACACUUGUUAACAUUUUCUGCCUCAUCUGCAAAUAUAACUUGGCUGACUUAAGAUAUGAUGCUCCCGGAAUCAGGUUCAAGCUGCAGCAUACCUGAGGACCCUGAUGAUAAGGCUGGCCCUGAUUCCCUUCCAUCUGUUGAUGCCUCCUGAUGUUGCUGAACUACAGCUCCCAGAACCCCUUUCCAUCAGCUACAUUUUCUAAGGCAGCUGGUAAUUGUAGUCAAACCUGCAUUUUACCUAUCUGCAUGUGGGCAACCAACAACGUGGACUCAUUUAUUGUGAGUAUAUUACAUUAAAGACCCUCAGCGAGUUCAACCAAGGUAUGAAAAACCAAUAUUCCCUGAUGACUAAUUUAAAAAAGGACUAGAGACACAGGAUAAAGAAGAGUAUGAGUAGAAAUUGAUAUUAUAGCCACUAGAGGGCAAUAGUUCAAAGUCAUAUGAGACUUCUGUUUGCGUACCAGUCAGGAGGAGCCUAAUACGAGUACACUAUUAUCCAAUAAAGUAACUUGCCCAGGCUCUUUGGAUCUCUAAACUUCUCUCAUUUUGAAAGCGAAUUGGGCAACCACAUAGUUAAACAAGGUUAUCCUGUUAUGGAGUUUGAUCAAUGUUGCAAUAGGUUUUUUUAAACAAAAUUUCUCAAUAUACUGUAUAGAAGAAACACAAUUGGAAUGAGCGUGAUUACUUUCAAUUGCAACACAAAGAGACACCAAAAGAACAACAGGAAUUGAGUAGAGUUGAGGUCUCAUAGUAAAAAACAACUUCAGUUGCAUGACAUGUUUAUUUGAAAAGUCAGACAGAAACCCUGAGUUGCCAGACACAGAAUCAGUUAAAUAAAAAAGGACAGAGCCAAGCUGAUUUUUUUUUUUUGCAUUUCACACAAUGAGGCUCUUGCUUGUGCUAUAGUUUGUUUUAAAAACAAAAGACAUUCCUCCCACCUUGAUGACAUUCCCACCAUGGGGAAACCAUUUUUUACAAGCUCAUUGCACGUUCAGAAGUUAACUAUGGCCUGGCGUGGGUCUAGGGGCCAACUGCAUUACAAGAGAUAGAAAAAAAUAAUCCCAGUGUGGCAAGUGAGGAUGUCCACAACAGUGUGAUGUUCAAAGAGGGCAGGGUGGAAAAACUUACUGCUGUGAUCAUCUGGGUCGGGCUCCCCGGAUACCAACUGAGGAGACAGCCAGCAGAAAAAAAGGCCUGAAUUUGCUUCUGCUGCAAACAAGCCCGGCAGGUAAAGCGUCUACUAUCCAGUCAGCAGAUAAGGCAGCCUCGUGUCAGGAGUAGGAUGCUGCCAGACUAGUCAACUAUUUGGCCUGAUCGAACACAUCUAUUGUUUGUUAGGGAGCGUUAAGUUGUUGUAUGAAUGCCUUAUUAUUUGCCUCAUCUUUUCUCUUUUUUUGUUGGGGACGUUGUCUGUUCCUGUAUUGUUUGAUUUUAAUUCAAUGUAUAUGGGAAAUGGGGCGGCAAUACAAGUGGUACAGGGCAAGGCAGGGUUAUAUGUGCUUAGAGAGGAAGGGGAGAAAGGUGUUUUAACACCCAUCUCACUUCCCAGACACCCUGCCAGCCUGGGAAACUUGGGAAAGUGAGUCAGGCCACCCACCUCAUCUUGCUCUUAAGUAAUGCCAGGUAGGUUAAAAAUAAAACACACAUAAUAUACAACCUCCUCAAAGUUGAGAGAGCUGACUCGGCAUGCUCUACUGAGACUUGGCUGGGGGAUGAUAGUGGUCCAACCAGGGCUCAGGACCUCCCAGGCAGGUACUGCGUGAGUGAGCAAGUGAGGGAAAGUGAGCGGAGAGGGUGUAGUUGUUGUAUAUAAAGCCCAUCUUAGUUGUUUCCCGGAUCAAUGCACUCAGCAGGUCAUACUCUGGGGAGUGUCUGCUCCAUCCUGCCAGAGGACAUUUCAUCAGCUGCCCCAAGACUGUGGAAUGACCUGCCGAAAGGGAUCUGGCAGCUAAAUCAGCCAUAGGAAUUUAAGACGCAAUUAAAGACCUAUCCAGUCAAUUUUUAACUAUGAAUGUUUAAACUCCUGUCCUGUAUUUAUUGUAUUUUAAUAUAUGCAUUUCAUAGAAAUACAUUUCAAUAUCUCUAUUUUACAUGUUGUAUAAUGAUAUGUUUUUAACUGUGUUGUACCCUGCCUCAAUGAGAGAUGAGUAAAAAAUAAAAAAUAGGAUUAGGAUUAGGAUUAUUAUGAAAGAAAAGAGACAUUUGUUCAAAAUUCUUUUGGACUGCAGCCACGUAGCUUCAAGGAUUGGGAACAUUAAGUUAAAAUGCUCAUGCACAUCAGAUCUCGUAUAUUAGUAAAAGAGAGAGCAUCUGUAGAAACAGAGGGUAUCCUGUACGAAAAAAGUCUCUGUUAGAAUGAUUGGUGAGAGAGAAGGACAGAGCAUGUUCCAGUUGUACCAGGUUAGCAUUUCAGAGGCAUUGAUUCAUCCAAUGCUUGCUUGUUUGCAGGCUGAAGAGGCUGGCUAUGUCAUGGCAACAAGCAGUAGAGUGAUGUGUGUUCAGCUUCUCAGAUGCAUGAUAUAGAUCCCUUUACAGAUAAUUUCUCUGUACACUGAAAACAAAAACAAAGAGGGGAAUCCAGAGAGAGAGCAAGAGCUAGUCUAUCUGGAGGCACUUGGCCCUGGAAAUACAUUUGAGGAUGUGCCUCAAAACGGCGUCUUGCUGGGACAACGUCUCCUGUUCCCGUGGAAAUCCAAGGAAGAUUGUCAGAGAAGCAGCACUGGUUGGGGGGCCUGGGGAACACCCAGCAUUUCCACGUCACAGUGUGGUCGAUGGGAGCUUCUUGACUCGCCUCUGCGCGAGGAAGGAGUACUCGAUGGGCUUCAGCUGGGGACCUGGCUUGGAGUUGUUCAGUGCAGAGUAUGUGGCAGCCAUGGCACCCUAGAGAGAGAAGAGGCAUGGGUGUCUCCCCCAAAGGCACACAUAGGUUUUCCUCACCCCAGUUCAUAUUAAAAGCAUGAAAAAAGAAUAGGGAGGGACAUUUCACCCCACGAUUUCUAGAUGAGCUCUGAAACACAUAUGUUACCCUACACGCAUUUGCAUAUGUACACAUCCUAUCAGGAAAUCAGAACACUUACUCUCCGCUGCAUGCAGUUUUUGGCAGCAGGCCUGCAUAAUUGCAAAACAGCCCUAGAUUUUCAAAGAAAGCUUUGCAGCAAAUAGUCCAAAGGGCCUAUGGCUGUCGACAAAGUCACUGGAAUGAUGCUGCCUAGCAUUUUGGCACCCUGGAUCCACCUGGCUAAUAACUGGCUCUAGGAGAAUGGGACAAUGCCAACAAGGGCUGGAAUUCUCUUUCAGCAUAUGGGCCACAUUAAUUUCAAAGAAAAUUCUGGCUACUGCAGCCCAGCAAUGAGCAGGGUCAAAGGCAAGAGGGUGGGACCAAAAAUAUCGGCGUGUUUGAACCUAAAACUCUUACUACCAAUAACUGCAUCAUUUCAACCUUUUGUAAUGUGAGCAAAUCCAUACAGUAACUGGUAUGGGAUAGGGAACGAUAUAAAUAAACAAUAUUAACAACAAUAACAUCAAUCAGAAAGAGGAUCUUCUGAAGAAUUACUCCAAUAAUAUGGAAUGGUAUUCCAUUGUAUUGUUUACUAGAGAAACUGGUGAUAAAAGAAGAUUGUUGGAUAGAAAGAACAAAUGCUGCCAUUUCUAUUUGAAAUGUAGGAUUUAAAGUAAUAUAUUCAAUAGGUUAAACAUCUAACAAAUAUAGAAAGGAACACAGAAAUCCUGUGUCAAGCUAUUUAUCCUUUUAGCUCAGUAUUGCCUACCCUGAGAGUGCUAUGUUGGGUGUGGAUAUGCAACAUGUGGCCUAAUAGGUAUUACUAGAAUGAAAGUCCCUAGCUAUCAUAAUCAAUUAUCAGGAAUUCUGGGGGUUGUGAUCCAACAGUGUCUGGAAGGUUGUGUGAUUCCUGCAUCUGGUUUGCCUUAGGCAAACAUCUUUCACUUUAUUGCUACAUAAAAUCCUUUUAAAAUUAGAUAGUGCAGUGAUCAGACGAAGGAUGCCUACAUGUAAAGCAGGUGUUCUACCAUUUAGCUAUGGAGAAAGAGCAGGUAGAUUGGAAUAUUAGGACUUAAUAUGAAGGUUUUAUUACAUGAAGGUUCUUUUUAGCAGUUGUAUGGAGAGAUCAUUCACGCCGGGUCUGACUCCUGCUCAUGUGUGACAGGCAGAACUUGUGUUUAUCAAUUAUCUUCAGCAUCACGAAGGGGAGAGCCAGCCCUUGCUUCCCAGUGAUGGAAUGACAAAGCUCCAAGCAAAAGACAAAAACACUGCCAGUGGCAUAAAACCACACAAAGAUACUAACUAGCAUGGGAGGGAUUUCCCUCCACACGCUGCUGAAAAGGAGCCUACCAAUGUUCCGUUUUCCCAAGACAACCCUUCAUGCUUGGACCUCCACAAGUGGUUGCCACACCCCCAGGGCAAGGGAACAAUCUGCUAUAAAGACCCAAUCCACGAUCAAGACCAUGGCUUCCCAAAAAAAGAUGCAUCUGUCGAAGCAAAUUUGUUAAUCCUGUAGUGUUUGAUGAAAGAACACAAAGAGGCCCAAGCGGCUGCUCGACUAAUCUCCGACCUCGAAGAAGCUCUUGUGCUCGACGUGGAGUGUGCCUGAAUCCCUGCUGGGACAGGUUGGGAACACAAACCAAUUCUAUACCCUGUCACAAUCAAUGGGACAAUACAGAGGAAGAUACACAUUGUGAGAGCAUCGAAAGCCAAAGCCCCUCCGUCCAAAAUCUUGACACAAAUUGAGGCAGUCUGUGACUCUCCUGGGAGGCAAAACACACCUAGUGUUUCUCUAGCAUUUGAAAUACUAGGCAAUUCAGAGCCAUUCAUCCUGAUCAGGCUCAUCUGCUUAGUUAAUUGGCAUGGCUAUUUAGUUGACCAGUCAGGUAUUCACCCCUGAAUAAAUGAAAGUAACUAUCCCCAUAUCACACCACAAGCAUUCAGAAUAGACCUAGGUCAUAAAGACAGCGUUAUCUAGGUAGAGAUUCACUAACUAUCACAAAAACCAAUUUAGCUGGAGUGCGAAAGCGCUGUCCAGAAUCUAUCUGCUGCAAGAUGGAACUGGGAAGGUGGGACUGGCUCUCCUCUUUAUGAUCAUAAAGGUGAUUGACAUAUAACAAACCCUGCCUGUCAAAUGUACGGAGAAGCCAGACUCAGCACCAAGACUGCCUCACUACACUCCUGGGAAAACAGCAAGGUAAUAGUCCUUUACUGUGUUGUAGGAUGCUUUUGGGGACAAUCAGUGUGGUGCAAUGGCUUCACCAGUAACUCAUUGUAACUCUGGAGCCCAGGGUUCAAAUCCCCACUCGGCCACAGAAACGCUUUGGGUGACCUUAGACAAGUCACACUCUCUCAACCCGAGAGAGAGGGACAAAGGCACCCUCCCUAGAACAAAUCCUGCCAAGAAAACCUCAUAAUAUGUUAUUCACUUUACACUUCAAGGCAUACAACAACUACAUAACAAUGACUUCAAGGCACGCAACAACUACAGUAGAGUCUCGCUUAUCCAACCUCCACUUACCCAACGUUCAGUAUUAUCAAACGCAGCCGGUCUUUUAGUAGUCAGUGUUUUUGUAGUCAAUGUUUUGGUGCUAAAUUUGUAAAUACAGUAAUUACUACAUAGCAUCACUGCAUAUUGAACUGCUUUUUCUGUUGAUUUGUUGUAUAACAUGAUGUUUUGGUGCUUAAUUUGUAAAAUCAUAAUGUAAUUUGAUGUUUAAUAGGCUUUUCCUUAGUCCCUCCUUAUUAUCCAACAUUUUCACUUAUCCAAUGUUCUGCCAGCCCGGCCCGUUUAUGUUGGAUAAGAGAGACUCUACUGUACAUAACAAUGACUUCAAGGCACGCAACAACUACAUACAUGCUUUUAGAACUUUAGGGUAGGAAUAAAAGAAUCUUAUUGAACAAAACCUCCACUAAGUAUGUCUCUUAAAGACCAUCAGAUGGCGAAAGGGACCAGGUUUUACUAGAUCCAAUAUGCUACCUAAGAGGAGACACACCAAUCCGUCCAAUUCAACCACAGGUUCAUACCUUGACAAGCUGUACAUCCUGGUGACUCAGCUGGCUCUGGGGCAACCUGUCCUUCUGGGUGAUCCACAGGUGCUGGAGGACUUGCUUGGCGGUCAGGCGCUGAUGAGGAUCAAUAUGGAGCAUCUUUGAUACCAGGUCCUACAAGAAGCAUUCAAAGAAUACAGCUAUGAUCAUCGCCAACCAGAAGAUUGGCAGUUUGAAGCCCAAGUUGGAGUGAGCACCCAUCCGUCAGCCCAGCUAACUGUCCACCUAAGCAGUUCGAAAACAGCUGAGUUGUGAGUACAGAAAUUAGGCUCCGCUUAAGCAGGGAGGUAUUUUACGGCACCAUAAAAAUGCCGGCGAUCACAGAACAAGGAGGAAUAACUCUGCGAUCUUCAUCGUCAUAGCAGAUGGAGCGACAGCACCCCGUGGCCAGAAUCGAGCAUAACCUCCAGGUACUGAAGUUGGACAAAAAGGCUGAUAUCUCUCUAUCUGUUUGUCAUGUAUGUGUGUUGUGAUCUGCCCUGAGUCCCCUUCGGGGUGAGAAGGGCGGAAUAUAAAUGCUGUAAAUAAAUAAAUUCUAGGAA